UCCAUGAAGUUGGAUUCGCUAGUAAUCGCGCAUCAGCCAUGGCGCGGUGAAUACGUUCCCGGGCCUUGUACACACCGCCCGUCAAGCCAUGGGAGCCGGGGGUGCCUGAAGUUCGUGACCGCAAGGGGCGACCUAGGGCAAAACUGGUGACUGGGGCUAAGUCGUAACAAGGUAAC
rnacentral:rRNA from 1 species